rnacentral:lncRNA from 1 species
CUUUGUGAUCUUCUAUUACAAGAAGUGAAAUCCAUAGGCUAUUCCAUAUAGAAAUCUUCAAAAGAUCUCUACUCAGGAAAGCUAUUUCACCUCCCUUUCUUGGAGUCGAUGUCUGACAUCGCCUCAUUGUAGGCUUUGGGAUUAUCUCUAUGUUCCCAUCUCCCAUGAGAAAUAACUUUUUCAGCAUUCUUUGUUAAGCAUACCUAAGUACCUUUUGAGAAGAUUGGAGAUCUUACUAUGUGUACGAGGUGG